rnacentral:rRNA from 1 species
AUUGAACGCUGGCGGCAUGCUUUACACAUGCAAGUCGAACGGCAGCGCGGGCUUCGGCCUGGCGGCGAGUGGCGAACGGGUGGGUAAUACAUCGGAACGUGCCCAGUAGUGGGGGAUAGCUCGGCGAAAGCCGGAUUAAUAUCGCAUACGACCUGAGGGUGAAAGCGGGGGAUCUUCGGACCUCGCGCUAUUGGAGCGGCCGAUGGCAGAUUAGCUAGUUGGUGGGGUAAAGGCCUACCAAGGCGACGAUCUGUAGCUGGUCUGAGAGGACGACCAGCCACACUGGGACUGAGACACGGCCCAGACUCCUACGGGAGGCAGCAGUGGGGAAUUUUGGACAAUGGGCGAAAGCCUGAUCCAGCAAUGCCGCGUGUGUGAUGAAGGCCUUCGGGUUGUAAAGCACUUUUGGCGGGAACGAAAAGGACUGUGCCAAUACCACGGUUCGAUGACGGUACCCGCAGAAUAAGCACCGGCUAACUACGUG